AAGGUGAGGAGGAGGAUGAGGAGGACGAGGAGGAACUGGAUGAAGAUGUCGUAGAUGAUGAAGAGGACGAGGAAGAACUGGACGGAGAAGAGGAAGAAGAUGGGGUAGAAGAUGAGGAGGAAGAAGAAGAUGAGGAGGGAGAAGACGAAGAUGACGAUGAAGGUGACGAGGAUGUCCCGCAGGGCGAGAAACGGAAACGAGAGCUCGAAGACGAGGGAGAAGAGGAUCCGGAGGACGAGGAAGACGAGGAAGACGCCUGACUCCUCCUCCUCCUCGCAAGCCAAUCAGUUUUGAGGACUGUGACUUUUCUCACCCUGGCCUCCACUGUUGUGUCCCACGUGAGACUGUAACGAAUUCUCCCCGCCCGUCCCGCAACGGCAUCUCUGCCCCCCCUCUCCCCCCCACACCCCUCUUUGUAUGGCUGCAACUCCCACAGUAUAUUUUUUUAAAACGUAGAAGAAGAAGAAAAGCUGUAGGCAUUUUGGAAAAGUGUUCCUCCCCUCCACAGAAUGCUCACUUCUUGUGUGACCCCCCCCCCCCCCGCCACCACUUCCUGUUUGGGUAUUUCGUGACCAAAGGCAUUCUCGAUUGGGUGAUUUGUAGGGCAACUCCCCGCUUCCCCUCCCACCGGCAAUAUAUAUUUUUCCUCCCAUCCCCAGUUUUCUUGGGUUUGGCCUUGUCGACUCAAACCCGCCUCUGUUUCCUUUGGGCACGGCCAACGACAUUGCUGCUGGCUUCUGCUACGACGGACCCGACCCCCGCUGCCCCCUUUCGACAGGCAUUCUGGGAGUGUCAUGGGAUUUCAAGGCUAAACCCAAACUCGGGGCUGCAUGGCGUUUGGAUGUUUCUUAGCCUGUUGAAAGGGUUGCUGGAUGGUUGCCGUGGAGGGGCCACGGGUUCACCCGGGGUUGGCUUUGCCUCUACCGAACCCGUGGCCCACGGAAGAGGAGAUCCUCAACAAAGUUCACCUUUAAACUGGAUUAUUGCUUUAUUUUCAAAAUGUUGCUGUGUUGCUAUAUCUUGCCAGCCCUUGCCUGUCAGGGAAUACCCCAUUUUGCUUGGUGUCAUUAGUCCCCUGACCCCCAUAAUCCCCUUUCAAUACAGAUUAUGUCCUUUAGCAAGAAGGGAAGUUGGAAGUGACUCACCUUGGCUGUUUCUGAGUUUACUUUUCAGGCGCACUGGGAUCAUUUACUGGUAGCCUUGGAGUAUUGUCGCUCACCUCCCCAAAUCCACUACAUCCUCGAUGGUGCAGUGGUUAGUAACUGCCAUCCUUGUUUGCAGAGAUAUGUGUGUGGAGUGGUUGUCCCUCUGUAUCAAACUUAGGUUACUCCAAAGAUGAUUUUGGGGAGGGGAACCGAGUGAGGCCAAGGAGAGUUUGCAUAUUGCUAAUUGUUGUUUUCCCUGUUCUCGAGACAAAGAGACCAAUAUAUGGGUAUUGGCUAAGGAGGUGGGUGGAAAAAAAUUGGAGGUAGACCCCCCCCCCCCCAACUUUUUUGUGUGCAGUGAAUAUUGAGCCUCAAAAAUGGAAAAAAAUAAAAAGACGUGCCUGGAUUCAAAAGAGCGGUUUGGGCUUGAAUUUUCCUCCCCCCUCACCUCAUCUAGUCAUUUGAGAUUUAUGCAUUAGCCCUAGGAAAGUUUGACUUCAUUUCGUUGAGACUAAUCCCGAAAACCAGGAUUUUUGUUGUUGUUGUUGGGGAGAGGGGAGGUUGGUCCUUUUCUAUCUAUCGUUUUGUUUUGUUAUGAAAUUUGGAUAAAACUUGUAAUAAAAAGACUGAGUUUUUAAAAACCAA